UGGGGGAAUUUUGGACAAUGGGCGAAAGCCUGAUCCAGCAAUGCCGCGUGUGUGAAGAAGGCCUUCGGGUUGUAAAGCACUUUUGUCCGGAAAGAAAUCCUUGGCUCUAAUACAGUCGGGGGAUGACGGUACCGGAAGAAUAAGCACCGGCUAACUACGUGCCAGCAGCCGCGGUAAUACGUAGGGUGCAAGCGUUAAUCGGAAUUACUGGGCGUAAAGCGUGCGCAGGCGGUUUGCUAAGACCGAUGUGAAAUCCCCGGGCUCAACCUGGGAACUGCAUUGGUGACUGGCAGGCUAGAGUAUGGCAGAGGGGGGUAGAAUUCCACGUGUAGCAGUGAAAUGCGUAGAGAUGUGGAGGAAUACCGAUGGCGAAGGCAGCCCCCUGGGCCAAUACUGACGCUCAUGCACGAAAGCGUGGGGAGCAAACAGGAUUAGAUACCCUGGUAGUCCACGCCCUAAACGAUGUCAACUAGUUGUUGGGGAUUCAUUUCCUCAGUAACGUAGCUAACGCGUGAAGUUGACCGCCU
rnacentral:rRNA from 1 species